CAGUGAAAUGCAGAUUGCAGAAAUGAGCUCCCCACAUAUCUUUCGAAUGCAAUCGGUUCAUACAUCGACGAGGAAAGUUGAAAGAUGCCAGUGGGGCUGACGCAGUUAUGUAUAAAGUAUCUGAUAAGACCAGAAGAUCAAGUAGUUUGGCCAUGUU